rnacentral:rRNA from 1 species
GCAAGUCGAGGGGUAACAUUGUAGCUUGCAGCAGUCGACGACCGGCGCACGGGUGCGUAACGCGUAUGCAACUUGCCCUUAACAGGAGGAUAGCUCAGGGAAACCUGAAUUAAUACUCCAUAGUCUUAUUUCACUGCAUGGUGAGAUAAGUAAAGCUCCGGCGGUUAAGGAUGGGCAUGCGUGACAUUAGCUAGUUGGUGAGGUAAUAGCUCACCAAGGCAACGAUGUCUAGGGGUUCUGAGAGGGUGAUC